rnacentral:ncRNA from 1 species
UAUCAACUGCCGCCGGGUAGAUUAUAAGCGUUGAAGUUCGUAUCGUUAGGCCAUAGAAGAUACGAGAUCAGCGCUUUUAUUCU